rnacentral:rRNA from 1 species
AUUGAACGCUGGCGGCAUGCCUAACACAUGCAAGUCGAACGUGUGGCGGACUGGUGAGUAAUGUCUGGGCAACUGCCCGAUGGAGGGGGAUAACUACUGGAAACGGUAGCUAAUACCGCAUACCAUCGGAUCUGCCCAGAUGGGAUUAGCUAGUAGGUGGGGUAACGGUUAACCUAGGCGACGAUGCCUAGCUGGUCUGAGAGGGUGACCAGCAACACUGGGACGGAGACACUGUCCAGACUCCUACGGGAGGCAGCAGUGGGGAAUAUUGCGCAAUGGGCGCAAGCCUGAUGCAGCCAUGCCGCGUGUAUGAAGAAGGCCUUCGGGUUGUAAAGUACGUUCAGCGAGGAGGCGUUACUCGCAGAAGAAGCACCGGCUAACUCCGUGCCAGCAGCCGCGGUAAUAC